rnacentral:rRNA from 1 species
AGAGUUUGAUCCUGGCUCAGGACGAACGCUGGCGGCGUGCCUAACACAUGCAAGUCGAGCGGAGUCAGCAAGAGGAAGUUUUCGGAUGGAAUCUUGUUGAUUUAGCGGCGGACGGGUGAGUAACGCGUGAGCGACCAACCUUGCACAGGGGGAUAACGGACCGAAAGGUUCACUAAUACCGCAUGAGACCACGGUGUUGCAUGACACAGGGGUCAAAGGAGGAAUCCGGUGCAAGACGGGCUCGCGUCCGAUUAGGUAGUUGGAGGGGUAACGGCCCACCAAGCCUAUGAUCGGUAGCCGACCUGAGAGGGUGAUCGGCCACAUUGGAACUGAGAUACGGUCCAAACUCCUACGGGAGGCAGCAGUGGGGAAUAUUGGGCAAUGGGGGAAACCCUGACCCAGCAACGCCGCGUGAAGGAAGAAGGUUUUCGGAUUGUAAACUUCUGUCCUUGGUGAAGAGAAGAAGACGGUAGCCAAGGAGGAAGCCCCGGCUAACUACGUGCCAGCAGCCGCGGUAAUACGUAGGGGGCAAGCGUUGUCCGGAAUGAUUGGGCGUAAAGGGCGCGUAGGCGGCUUUGUAAGUCUGGAGUGAAAGUCCUCUUUUCAAGGGAGGAAUUGCUUUGGAAACUAUAGAGCUUGAGUGCAGGAGAGGUUAUCGGAAUUCCCGGUGUAGCGGUGAAAUGCGUAGAUAUCGGGAGGAACAUCGGUGGCGAAGGCGGGUAACUGGACUGCAACUGACGCUGAGGCGCGAAAGUGUGGGGAGCAAACAGGAUUAGAUACCCUGGUAGUCCACACGGUAAACGAUGAAUGCUAGUGUAGGAGGUAUCGACCC